CCUACGGGAGGCAGCAGUGGGGAAUAUUGCACAAUGGGGGAAACCCUGAUGCAGCGACGCCGCGUGAGUGAAGAAGUAUCUCGGUACGUAAAGCUCUAUCAGCAGGGAAGAUAAUGACGGUACCUGACCACGAAGCCACGGCUAACUACGUGCCAGCAGCCGCGGUACUACGUAGGGGGCACGCGUUAUCCGGAUUUACGGGGUGUAAAGGGAGCGUAGACGGCUGCACAAGUCUGGAGUGAAAUCCCGGGGCUUAACCCCGGAGCUGCUUUGGAAACUGUGCGGCUGGAGUGCAGGAGGGGUAAGAGGAAUGUCUAGGGUAGCGGUGAAAUGCGUAGAUAUUAGGAGGAACACCGGUUGCGAAGGCGGCUUACGGGACGGUAACUGACGUUGAGGCUCGAAAGCGUGGGUAGCAAACAGGAUUAGAUACCCUAGUAGUC
rnacentral:rRNA from 1 species